rnacentral:lncRNA from 1 species
CAAGAUUAGCAUCUUUGUUUCCUUUCCUCUCUUAUUAUGAGAGAGUUUUCAGUCCUCUUCGCUGCCAAACACCAUAAACCCCUGGACACAAGAGGAUGACUUAAAGGCUCUUGUGGAAACUUGAUAACUAUUUUCAAGUGUUCAAGAAAGGAAGGAAUACAUGCUAUAAUGGAUGCUGUUACUAAGGAAGAAAUCUGAAGGCAUUCUUAUUUGACCUAGCUGGUUGUUAUGUUUGCAAUUCUGAUUUUAUAGAGUGUACUCACAGUAAUUUCUAGGUUCUUGUCUCCAAGCAAUGAUUUGGACUGAGACCCCUGGAUAAUACAGAAGACAGUUUAUUCAAGUAGAAAUGCAAAUGAAGUUGGAAAUGUGCCAGUGAGACCUAGGUCCAAGUUCCAAGAGAUUGAGUUGGAGACAAUCCUUUUAUGAAUCUCCUACAUAUGCAUUUGGUACACAG